GAAGGAUCAUUAUCGAGAUUGAAGGGUCUCCCCUCUGGGGCGAAUCCUGAACCUCCAUCCUGUGAUGUAUGACGACCACGAUUGCCUUGGCGGCAUAAACCCCGCCGGCAUUACCCCCAAACUCACGAUUUUGGUGCUGUCUGAGCGAAUUUGGUAAUGAGACAAAACUUUCAACAACGGAUCUCUUGGUUCUGGCAUCGAUGAAGAACGCAGCGAAAUGCGAAAAGUAAUGCGAAUUGCAGAAUUUAGUGAGUCAUCGAAUCUUUGAACGCACAUGGCGCCCUCUGGUAUUCCAGGAGGCAUGCCUGUUCGAGCGUCGUUAUCACUGUCACUUGGCGGUUAGUCACGGGCUUCGUGCUCGAUGUUGGGCCGUUAUACAUCGUCUUGGAGCGAUGGGCCCCAAAGUAAGGGUGUCGGUGUCGAACGUCCGACUGCAGUAGAUAAUUUUCCCAGUCUUGAGGGACGACAUCGAUGCCACAGGCGUCUAGGACGCCGCGUAUGCCGUAUCGCUACGCCGGUAGGAGUGCCCGCAGCACUCCAGCUCUUCGACCUCGGAUCAGGUAGGGAUACCCGCUGAACUUAAGCAUAUCAAG
rnacentral:rRNA from 1 species